CAGUCGCCACGGUAAUACGAAGGGUGCAAGCGUUACUCGGAAUUACUGGGCGUAAAGCGUGCGCAGGCGGUUAUAUAAGACAGAUGUGAAAUCCCCGGGCUCAACCUGGGACCUGCAUUUGUGACUGUAUAGCUAGAGUACGGUAGAGGUGGAUGGAAUUCCGCGUGUAGCAGUGAAAUGUGUAGAUAUGCGGAGGAGCACCGAUGGCGAAGGCAAUCCCCUGGACCUGUACUGACGCUCAUGCACGAAAGCGUGGGGAGCAAACAGGAUUAGAUACCCGCGUAGUCCCUGUCUCUUAUAC
rnacentral:rRNA from 1 species